CAGUCGCCGCGGGAAUACGUAGGUGGCAAGCGUUAUCCGGAAUUAUUGGGCGUAAAGCGCGCGUAGGCGGUUUCUUAAGUCUGAUGUGAAAGCCCACGGCUCAACCGUGGAGGGUCAUUGGAAACUGGGAAACUUGAGUGCAGAAGAGGAAAGUGGAAUUCCAUGUGUAGCGGUGAAAUGCGCAGAGAUAUGGAGGAACACCAGUGGCGAAGGCGACUUUCUGGUCUGUAACUGACGCUGAUGUGCGAAAGCGUGGGGAUCAAACAGGAUUAGAUACCCCCGUAGUCCCUGUCUCUUAUAC
rnacentral:rRNA from 1 species